GAUGAACGCUGGCGGCGUGCUUAACACAUGCAAGUCGAACGGACUUUUAUUGAAGCCUAGCGAUAUAAAAGUUAGUGGCGGACGGGUGAGUAACGCGUGAAUAACCUGCCUUAUACUGGGGGACAACAGUUGGAAACGACUGCUAAUACCGCAUAAGCGCACGGUUCCGCAUGGAACAGUGUGAAAAACUCCGGUGGUAUAAGAUGGAUUCGCGUCUGAUUAGAUAGUUGGUGAGGUAACGGCUCACCAAGUCGACGAUCAGUAGCCGGCCUGAGAGGGUGAACGGCCACAUUGGGACUGAGACACGGCCCAAACUCCUACGGGAGGCAGCAGUGGGGAAUAUUGCACAAUGGGGGAAACCCUGAUGCAGCGACGCCGCGUGAGUGAAGAAGUAUUUCGGUAUGUAAAGCUCUAUCAGCAGGGAGAAAAUGACGGUACUGACUAAGAAGCCCCGGCUAACUACGUG
rnacentral:rRNA from 1 species